AUGAACGCUAGCUACAGGCUUAACACAUGCAAGUCGAGGGGCAGCAUGGUCUUAGCUUGCUAAGGCCGAUGGCGACCGGCGCACGGGUGAGUAACACGUAUCCAACCUGCCGUCUACUCUUGGACAGCCUUCUGAAAGGAAGAUUAAUACAAGAUGGCAUCAUGAGUCCGCAUGUUCACAUGAUUAAAGGUAUUCCGGUAGACGAUGGGGAUGCGUUCCAUUAGAUAGUAGGCGGGGUAACGGCCCACCUAGUCUUCGAUGGAUAGGGGUUCUGAGAGGAAGGUCCCCCACAUUGGAACUGAGACACGGUCCAAACUCCUACGGGAGGCAGCAGUGAGGAAUAUUGGUCAAUGGGCGAGAGCCUGAACCAGCCAAGUAGCGUGAAGGAUGACUGCCCUAUGGGUUGUAAACUUCUUUUAUAAAGGAAUAAAGUCGGGUAUGGAUACCCGUUUGCAUGUACUUUAUGAAUAAGGAUCGGCUAACUCCGUGCCAGCAGCCGCGGUAAUACGGAGGAUCCGAGCGUUAUCCGGAUUUAUUGGGUUUAAAGGGAGCGUAGAUGGAUGUUUAAGUCAGUUGUGAAAGUUUGCGGCUCAACCGUAAAAUUGCAGUUGAUACUGGAUAUCUUGAGUGCAGUUGAGGCAGGCGGAAUUCGUGGUGUAGCGGUGAAAUGCUUAGAUAUCACGAAGAACUCCGAUUGCGAAGGCAGCCUGCUAAGCUGCAACUGACAUUGAGGCUCGAAAGUGUGGGUAUCAAACAGGAUUAGAUACCCUGGUAGUCCACACGGUAAACGAUGAAUACUCGCUGUUUGCGAUAUACUGCAAGCGGCCAAGCGAAAGCGUUAAGUAUUCCACCUGGGGAGUACGCCGGCAACGGUGAAACUCAAAGGAAUUGACGGGGGCCCGCACAAGCGGAGGAACAUGUGGUUUAAUUCGAUGAUACGCGAGGAACCUUACCCGGGCUUAAAUUGCAGAUGAAUUACGGUGAAAGCCGUAAGCCGCAAGGCAUCUGUGAAGGUGCUGCAUGGUUGUCGUCAGCUCGUGCCGUGAGGUGUCGGCUUAAGUGCCAUAACGAGCGCAACCCUUGUUGUCAGUUACUAACAGGUUCCGCUGAGGACUCUGACAAGACUGCCAUCGUAAGAUGUGAGGAAGGUGGGGAUGACGUCAAAUCAGCACGGCCCUUACGUCCGGGGCUACACACGUGUUACAAUGGGGGGUACAGAGGGCCGCUACCACGCGAGUGGAUGCCAAUCCCCAAAACCUCUCUCAGUUCGGACUGGAGUCUGCAACCCGACUCCACGAAGCUGGAUUCGCUAGUAAUCGCGCAUCAGCCACGGCGCGGUGAAUACGUUCCCGGGCCUUGUACACACCGCCCGUCACACCAUGAGAGUUGGGGAUACCCGAAGCCUGUGAGCCAACAUAUCUAUGAGGCAGCAGUCGAAGGUAGAAUCAAUGAUUGGGGUG
rnacentral:rRNA from 1 species